ensembl:lncRNA
CUGACUUCCUGUUGGGAUUCGAAUUUCGUACCAAGAGACUUUUUUGUAGGUAUUGGUGUGUUACAUGUGUGUACCGAUUUUUGUACAUUUACGUGAAACGUAGCUCGAGGCGCACUCCGUUGAAAAUGUAUAGGUGGCGCUAUCGAGGCAUUUUGCCACACCCAAUGGAAUAUUGGCCUUCAGAUGUGUUCAGGCCAGGACUCUUAUCAAACAUGUGAAGUUUGGGCAAGAUCGGACAUUUUAUGCCUGAGUUACAAUAACUUUUAUUCCCAUGGCGAGACAUCGAUCUUUGUGACGGCGCCAUGGACACGCCCUUUAACGAAAACUCAAG